rnacentral:snRNA from 1 species
AGCUUUGCACAGUGGCAGUAUCGUAGCCAAUGAGGUUUAUCCGAAGUGCGAUUAUUGCUAAUUGAAAACUAAAGUACCCUAGAUGUAUGAUGGUUUAUCAAAAUUCUUACAUGGUGCUCAGAUAAAGCAGCCCUUUUAAAAUAUAAUUUUGUUAAUAAAUUUAUUCUGGAAAAUUUUAAAGAAAU